UUCCGGAACCGGGACGUG
rnacentral:snRNA from 1 species